GGGUACAGCUCAGUGGCAGAGGACCUGCUUAGCAUGCAUGAGGUCCUGGGUUCAAUACCCAGUACCUCCA
rnacentral:tRNA from 1 species